GGGGCGGUCCGGUCGCCAUUUUGAAGGCGGCGGUGGGAGGGACUGAGGGGCUGAUGUGCUCAGGUGCUUCAUGCUGAGCUUUCGCCUUCCUCUCUAGGGCUGCUGAUGCUGCGGCCCCAGUCCUCCAAAAGCGUAAAACGAAGCCCAUAACGCGGGGCUGGUGGGGAAAACCAGUGCUAUGUCAGUGAGGAAACGGGUUGGGGUUGGCGGGCGGCCUUCUGUGGGGCUGGAGUGCAUCCCUCAGGGGUUGGGGCUGGGAGGGUUGGCCCAGCCUUUAUCGAUGCUGCCCUCGUUCUCGUUCCUGCUGUAGGUCCACUUCGUUUAAAAGACUCGCUGACAGAAUUCCUGCUUUUAAAUGCCGUUUUUAGUCGUAUUGUUACACUUUUUCUUAUAUCUCAGCGCUUUAAUUUUUUCAAGCGGCCUUGAAGCAGUACCACGCUGAUACAAGGGCUAUGGCACUGUGGCCUUACAGCUCUGACAACACUUAAAGAACCUCCAAGAAAGACAGCUUGGCUCUUCAGGUUUUGGCACCUAGCCUGAUUGACCUCUUCCUAUUGCAAUGUCUGAACAAUUCCCCAAGUUUUGUUCUGAGAUGGAUGCAGGAUUUUAGCACCAGCGCUUCAGGAGCCUCCACAGAAUGCACUUCCAUUGCUUCGGAGGGUCUCAGGUUCAGCUACUCCAUUACAGCUCCACCAGGAGAGGAUUGCUUUUAAAUGACUUGUGCCUGCUGUGUCAUGUCUGGAGCUGGAGCUGAGUGGAGCCGCUGGGAGGCCAUGUGUGACAGGCUCUGCAGUUGCAGGAAAAUAAGGCAGAUUUAGACCCAGAGGAACUGUUGGAAAGCUUGUUGGCUUAAUGAUUAACACCUUGCAAUACUGUGGGAGUGUUAGGACAAAGAGACCUCUGGACUUGUGUGUUCUCCCAGAAGAGGAGGCAGAAGCUGGCCUUGCACCGAAACGCAUUCAUUCAGUAGAGAGAGAAUUAACUGGCAGGCUGGGGGAUCUUGGCUGCUUGAGGACUCACCAGUGUUGGCAACGUGUGUGCAAGCCCACCCCACCAAGCGGAGCAACUCAGCCUGGCCACCCUAGGCAGCAUGUCCCUCUGUGAGCAUGCGCUGUCCCUCUUCCGCAGCGCAGUGGGCACCGUCCGGCCAGCCCCAAUGCUGAAGAGGGCACUGAAGCUCCAGGGAGAGGGGUGCCCUCAGCUGCUGGUGAACAGCCGUGCUUUCCCGUUGAAGAGGGGCCUGUACUUGGUGGGGUUUGGCAAAGCUGUGUUGGGGAUGGCGGCAGCAGCAGAAGAGAUCCUGGGAGACCACCUCGUUCGGGGGAUCAUCAACGUGCCACUGGGCAUCCAGGAGAGCCUGCAGCGAGCGGGAAUGCAGGAGAUGCUGCUGAAGCCACACAGUAGAAUCCAGGUCAUUGAAGGUGCCAAGAACAACCUCCCUGACCCAGAGGCUCUUAGGGGAGCAAGUGCCAUUCAGGAGCUGGCUGAGGGCCUGACAGCGGAUGACCUGCUCCUUGUGCUCAUCUCAGGGGGUGGAUCAGCCCUGCUUCCUGCUCCCAUCCCUCCCAUUCUCCUGGAGGAGAAGGAGAAGCUCACAAAGAUGUUGGCUUCCCGAGGAGCUGCCAUACAGGAGCUGAACACUGUCCGAAAAAUUCUGUCUUUGCUGAAGGGUGGAGGGCUGGCCCGCCUUGCAUAUCCUGCACAGGUGGUGAGCCUCAUCCUUUCUGACGUGAUUGGUGACCCUCUGGACAUCAUAGCGAGUGGGCCCACUGCUGCCAGCUCCCACAGCGUCCAAGACUGCCUUCAGAUCCUGGCCAAAUACAACCUGCUGCACAGCCUGCCCGGCUCCGUGGAAGCAGUCCUCUCCAGCUCUCCCACCAAGCCCACUGCUGCAAAAGACUACUCCCAUGUUUGCAACAUCAUCAUUGGGUCAAACACGCUGGCUUUGGCUGAGGCCAAGCGCCAAGCAGAGGGCCUGGGCUACGUGACCCUGAUUCUCAGUGCAGGGGUCUGCGGGGACGUUGGCCGUGUUGCUGUGCUGUACUGCCAGCUGAUCUGCCUGCUCUGUCUGCGCUUGGCCGGCCUUGGGGAAGGGCCUCGGGGCUCUGAGGUGAGGGGGAAUCUCCUGCAGCUGGCGGCAGAGUUAGACAUCCCGGGCUUGAACGUGGCUGAGUUUCUGCAGGCCCUGCAAGGAUUGGAGCCCCAGAAACCGGUCUGCAUCCUGGCUGGAGGAGAAACCACAGUUCAGCUUCAAGGAACCGGGAAGGGAGGGAGAAACCAAGAGCUGGCUCUGCGAGUGGGGCUGGGGCUGCACAGGGCACGGGGUGUUGAGGCCAGCGGCCUGGGUAGGUGUGAUGUUGUCUUCCUGAGCGGGGGAACGGACGGGCAGGAUGGGCCCACAGAGGCAGCAGGGGCUUUCUGCAGCCCAGAGCUGGUGGCUGAGGCCCUGCAGGAAGGCCUUGAUGCAGAAACCUUUCUCAGCAACAAUGACUCCUAUACCUUCUUCAGCCAAUUCCAGCGUGGGCGUCACCUCCUGGUGACUGGCUUGACGGGCACCAACGUCAUGGACAUCCAGCUUAUUUUAAUUAGAGCCACAGACAGAUCAUGAGAGCUCCCUCUGCAGAUAUUCAGAUGCAUUUAAUUAGGAGCAGGGGUAAAUAAGGCCAUAAACAUUGCAGACGAAACCGCUUAAAUUAGGGCUAGUUGUCAAGGGUGCUAAUAUCUUUGACAGAAAGAGUCUACUAAUUAGGCAAAAGCAAAUCCACCGUAAAAGCAUCGAGAACAGUCAAGUUCUUGUAAUUGGGAUCAGAGGAAGGUAAGGAGUCACACUGUGGAUGUGGAUGUUGCAUUUAGCACUUCUGCAGAGAGCCACCGCUGCUGUGACAGCUUCAGCUGUGGGUGAAAGGCAUGGAGAAAGCGAGGCCAUGGCACAGCUGCUGGAGAGAGCUCCCGGUGUGGUGUGGGAACCCCCUCUGAUCCCGGGAGAGCCUCUUUGCCAGCAGUCUGUGUGUUAGGAGCUUCCAUGGUGUUGUUUUCCAACUGGCCGGAAAACAGUCGUGCAUCCUGCCUGAGCCACUGACCUUUCUUCUGUGCCGAGGCAGAAGUCGCUGUCACUCUGAUUAACUCUACUAAUUCUGCGGAACAAAAGGCAAGGAAGUCUUCAUGCUCAGCUCUCCUGACCCAUGUUGCUGAGCUGAUCAAAGGGCAAAGCUGCCAGAGCCUUGCUUUGACAGGGAGCUGCUCCCCCACGCCUCUGAGAACGCCGUGGUGCUGCCGGUUUCGCCACUGACUGCCGUGCGAUCCAUGGGAGAGCAGAGAUGAGUUGGGUUUCCCAGGACGUGGGGCUGAAUUUUAGCUGUGCUCUGGCUACCUAUUCAAAGGACUUCAGCUGAGCAGCCGGUAUGACCCAACACACUGAACUCCUUUGAAAAAUCUGCCUAUUUGUCACAGAGCCUAAGUGGGAGCUGAGCUCCUUUGAAAAUCCAGCCCUAAUUUAAUAGGACACGCUUGACUCAGACUCUUCCCAGACAGACUAGCCUGCUCCGUGUGGCUGAUCUAAUCUUGUGGCAUGAAUACUCUGUCCUGCCAGCACGAUGAGCGAGAUAGCCUUGUCUUUCUUCCUCCUUCUCUUCCUCGGUGUCUGUUCUGUCAGAUUUAAUGCAAACCUUUACAGAGCGGCGACGGCCUCCUGAGAAACUUUGGGGAGUGCUGCGUUUGGGGCAGCCCUCAAUGCUGUGGCCAUUCCCUGGCUCCUCUUCCUCCUCUUCCUCCUCCUGUGUGCUCAGUCACACAGGGAAGCUGCUGCAGGAUGGAGCAGGGCUGGCAGCGGAUGCCUUCCUGCGGCACGUGGGCUGCUCCCCGCUGUCGGACCCCAGCGCCUUGCACGGCUUCAAUCCCUAUAUGAAGCGGGAUGUAUAAUCACAUAGGAAUAAAAAGCCAUACAGGACAGUGAGGCGCUCCAUGCUCGGCCAGGAUGGACUCAGGGAGCCCCGUAGCUCCUCUGGGGGUCCAGGGGAGGCGGAGAAGCCCUGUGUGAAACAAGAGAGGUGUAUUUCAGCAGGGCAUGACCGCUCGCUCCGUGUCAACAGAGCCCAACCCCUGCACCAACCUGGGUCAAGCACCACUGUCUUAUCCUGGAGCAUCCCCGCGCUGUGUCUGCUUGUAUCACUGGCGCUGUUUCAUCCCCAAACACCCCCCUGCUGCAAACACGUGGUGGGGAGGAGAAGGGACUCACCCCACAGCCAUCCCCCUGCACUGGAGCAUCCCCACGCAUCCCCUCGCUGUCUGGCUGGGGAGAAGAGGAGUGAGCGGAUCCAGGGAGCUGUCAGCGCCCGGCACGCUGCUGUCAGAGUGCAAAUCCCCUGGCAGCCCAUUAGGAGCAGCUCCAGGCUGCCUGCAGGAGCUCUUGACAGGAGGCCAGACACCGGUGUGAACAAACACAGCUCCUCUGCUACGAAGGUGGACGUGGGCAGAAUGAAGCCAGGGAUCGCUUCCCCCGGGUCGCUGCUGUUUGAGGGAUGCUCACGGAGUGCAGGACCAGAGCAAGCGCCAGGGCACGGCAGUGCUGGAAACCCACCCAAGAGAUACGCAGCGAAGGGUCUGUGCCUCUGUCCCACAUUGCAGCAUCACCUUGGGCAGCUGCAGAGGUGCUGUGCCACCCCAGGGCCCCGCCAGCCCUCAGGGAACGCCACCGCAGCCACACGCCGCCAAUCCAAUCCACUGUGGGGCAGCACCGGGAGGCUCUGAUCCUCAAAUCCACCCCCAGGAGCCCUCCUCCGUCUCGGGGCCCGGGGGAGCAGCUCUGUGGGGUCUGUGAUCGCUUCUCCAACGUGUGGGACAGCAGGGCAAGGGGUCGUACGGAAAGCUGCGCCCGUGAAUCACUGCGCCCAGGCUGGGUAGGAACACCAACAGUGCCGUGUUUGGGAGUAAUUACUCUCCACGAGCGUGUGAAUCAUUAGCUAUAAUUGCCCUAAUAAAUAAAAGCGCGAUAACUUCAGUCUGUGGCCUCAUCCACAAGCUGCUGGCGGGGUGAGCUCAACCAGAUAAAACCAGGAGUGGAGGGAAGGCAGAAAGAGCUGAGCUUCGAAACCACGGCGUCACCCCACGUUGACCCAUAGGCUCUGUCCUGCGUGUGCCCGUUGGCGCUCAAGGGCUUCGGCACCACCUCUGCAUGGAGAAGAUUCCUCGCUGCAAAGGGGAGUGAAAAGGCUCUGUUUGGGGGUGGCACUGAGGUUACCCACACGCUCCUCCCCUGGGGAAUGCUGGAGUGAAAAAAUAAAGCCACCCCGCUCCGAGAUGACAUAUGGAAACGAAGCAGAAAGCGGCUUCUCCACUUAAAAUGUCAUCGUAGACUUUGCUCAGGAAAAAAGAAGCCUUCCCAGAGUGACAUUUUAAGGGGAAAUGUUGACUUCAAACCAGGAAGAAACCCCUCAAACCACACAAGGAAUCGUUUUAAGCCGCGCUGAGCCACCUUGCAUGGAAAUCAAUAUUUUUGCAGCAAAAAAAAGUACACAAAAAAACCCCCAAACUAUUAUCUCAAGUA